CAGAUGAGGAAACUGUUUCUACAUUCAGAGGUACUGAUCCUGGUUUGCAGAGGAUAAGGGUCAGAUCAGCCAUCAGAAGAUAGUCAGCAGAAAUGAUAUUAUCAAUACCAAUAUCAACAUCAACAUUGACAAUAACAUCAUCAUCAUCAACAUUGACAAUAACAUCAUCAUCAUUAACAUUGACAAUAACAUCAUCAUCAUCAACAUUGACAAUAACAUCAUCAUCAUCAACAUUGACAAUAAGAUCAUCAUCAUCAACAUUGACAAUAACAUCAUCAUCAACAUCAUCAUUUUCAUCAAAAUCAACAACAACUAUGUCAACAACAUCAUCAGCACCACCAUUAUCGUCAUUAUCAACAUCAUCAACAACAACAUCAACAUCGUCACCACUGCCAUUAUCAGCAUCAAUCUCCAUCAUCAUUAUCAUCAUGAUCAUUAAAAAAAACCAUCAUCUUGAGACAUGAUUAAAAAAAACGCCAAAGAACUGUCAGAUAAUGGUGGACAAAUAUGUUUUCAUUUAGAAAAUGUGAAGAAAACUAUCUAGAGAGAACUUGGUUUGCUUUGAUUUUGGACAAAGAGCUGUUGAUGUUUUCAGAAAUAAAUGCAUCUUUUUAAUUUACAUCAUAAUUAUGACUUAUAUCAAAUGGGAAGUGAUAUGAAAGAAAGUACUUCUUCUACUUAAAUUGACCCGAUGAAUGUAGGAUAAGUGAUUAAUAGAAAGGAUUACCAACCUGGAUCAACAAGGAGCUUUCAUCAGCUGGAUUGACAAGUAUUAAGGCUUUGCUGAGAGAUUCUGAACCAUUGUACAUCUGAUGUGUCCUUCCAUCAAGAGGGCUAAUUUUGACUGUGGAACAGUGAUGAUGAAGAGGUCUGAAGGUGACGUAGACUAGGGGUUGUCCCAGCGGUCCACUGGCCUUGGAUCUAGAACCCAACGAGAGCCAGGAUGUCCGUUACAAGGGUCCUGUUCUGUUUAUCCGCAGACACUCCAACUUCCUGUCAGGAAGGACUCACAAUGCAUCGUGGGAAUGGGGGAAUUUGGCCGCAAGCCUCACCUCUUCCCUUGUUACUUUUCAUUGCUAGCUCAAGAUCAGGAAUAGAAGAUUACGAUCUGUUUUCGUCCACU